UGGACCUUUUCAGUGACCUAAGGGAGAGGCAUCUCUUCAAUGGCAGCUAUGAAGACACGUGUUUACUACGAUACAGCUUCUUAGAAGUCCUGCAAAAAGAACUUGAUGACUACAAACAGUUGUGGAACACUCACACCAUUCGACCAGUUCGCCAGUCCUAUUGCCCCUCUGGCAAACCAGACGCCAUGUACUACCUGCCUGAGAGGUUCAGUGGAAGAAAUUGUGGAUUUGCGGUCUCCCAAUUGCCCUUGAAUCAGUUCGACACCAUGGUGCCAGAUCAUUUCAGUCUUUGUGGCGAUGACAACCAUCAAAACCAUUUUGAGGAAUUACAGAGACAAAGUGGACUAACUGCACCAACUGACUGGGCCGAGGCUGUGGAACAUUAUAUUACACUGAAAUGUUUGACUGGAGUUUAAGGUACAGAGUCAGAGUCAAAAGUGUCAAAAUAAAAGUUUAUUUAUUUGUA